rnacentral:rRNA from 1 species
AUUGAACGCUGGCGGCAGGCUUAACACAUGCAAGUCGAGCGGAGAGAGGUAGCUUGCUACUGAUCUUAGCGGCGGACGGGUGAGUAAUGCUUAGGAAUCUGCCUAUUAGUGGGGGACAACAUUUCGAAAGGAAUGCUAAUACCGCAUACGUCCUACGGGAGAAAGCAGGGGAUCUUCGGACCUUGCGCUAAUAGAUGAGCCUAAGUCGGAUUAGCUAGUUGGUGGGGUAAAGGCCUACCAAGGCGACGAUCUGUAGCGGGUCUGAGAGGAUGAGCGGCAACACUGGGAGUGAGACACGGCCCAGACUCCUACGGGAGGUAGCAGUGGGGAAUAUUGGACAAUGGGCGCAAGCCUGAUCCAGCCAUGCCGCGUGUGUGAAGAAGGCCUUAUGGUUGUAAAGCACUUUAAGCGAGGAGGAGGCUACUUUAGUUAAUACCUAGAGAUAGUGGACGUUACUCGCAGAAUAAGCACCGGCUAACUCUGUGCCAGCCGCCGCGGUAAUAC